rnacentral:rRNA from 1 species
UACGAAGGUGGCAAGCGUUACUCGGAAUUACUAGGCGUAAAGGGCAGGUAGGUGGUUCGAUAAGUCUGUUGUGAAAGCUCCCGGCUCAACUGGGAGAGGCCAACAGAAACUAUCGGGCUUGAGUAUGGGAGAGGGUACUGGAAUUCCCGGUGUAGCGGUGAAAUGCGCAGAGAUCGGGAGGAACACCAAUGGCGAAAGCAGGUACCUGGACCAUUACUGACACUCAACUGCGAAAGCUAGGGGAGCAAACAGG